GGCCAACUCUUUCUCUCUCUCAAUCAAUCUGUCCUUGCCUUUCCUUGUGCUGCGCUGGCAGAGGAAUUGUCUAGGAGUCCCAGCUGGAGCAGAAACUGGCAGUUUGUAAGAAAAGGUUCCUGACUAGCUGUGGUUACGAGGGAGACAAGGUCCACAAUUUCAGGGGCUGCUUGGAUAUCCUUCUAAGGAGACAUGAACACUCCUCAGCUUUCUGAAUUCUGAAUAACUGGCUGUGAGUAAGAGUACCAAGGAAAAAGAAGUCACACGUCAGAGUCUACUGCCCUCAUGCGAUGGAAAGUGAGUGAGAGCAGCGAGCCUGUGAGCAUUGUUCAUGCCAGGCAAGAGCCGUCCAUCUGGGAGCCGAGCAGACACCACUGUUACUGAGAUAAGUGUCCGGUUUCCUGAGGGUUCUGCUCACGGCCCAUCUGACUCCAGGUAGGGACACCCCAUCAGCUGGGGCUGGGUUUGUAAGAAAAGGUUCCUGACUAGCUGUGGUUUUGAGGGAGACAAGGUCCCCGGAUCGGUGUGUCCUCCGCAGGAGAAGGUUAAAUCCAUGAGGAUGACUCCAGGUGGUGAGUUGCUUGCCUUCCUCCUGUGUUUCUCUCUCUCUUCUCUACUGUGUUGGACAACACACACUCUCUCUCUCUGUCCUUUCCUUUUCUUGUCCUGUGUCCCUUCAUAGCAGGCGUGCUAGGUGUGCAUCCCCACAGGCUCGGUCUUGGGAGUUAUGAAGAAGUAGGAGGGGAUGAAAAUCAUGUGGGGUAGCGAGAGUGGAGUGGAGACUGUCGGUGUUGACUCGGUCUCUGUUCAUCGAGUGGGGCUGAUGUAGAUGGAAUGGGAGAGGGAGGCAGGGAUGAGGGCAAGAUUUCAUGCACCUUCAGAGCUUUGUGUAUUACUGGCUUAUGCAUGGCUUUUGCAGCUGCGCUGGCAGAGGAAUUGUCCAGGAACCCUACCCAGAGGAGAGAUCUCAGAAGCGGACCUGAUCAGCCUGAACAUCCUUCUAAGCAGACAUGAACAGUCCUCAGCUUUUUCCCUCCUGUAUAACUGGCUGUGAGUAAACGUACCAAGGAAAAAGAAGUCAUUCGUCAGUCUACUGCCCUCAAACAAUGGAAAGCGAGCGAGAGCAACGAGACUGCGAGCGUUGUUGAUGCGAUGCAAAAGCCGUCCAUCUGGGAGCGGAAUAGCCACUGCUGUCAGUGAGAUAAGUGUCUGGUUUGGUGAUUGCUCUGCUCACGGCCCACCUGGCUCCAGGUAGGGAUGCCCAAUUAUCUAGGGCUGGGUUUGUAAGAAAAGGUUUCUCAUUAGCUGUGGUUACUAGGGAGACAAGGUCCCCAUUUCAAGGGGUUGCUCAUUAUUCUGUGUCCUCUGCAGCAGACGGUUGGAUCCAGGAGGAUGACACCAGGUGAGUUGCUUGCCUUCCUUCCAUGUUUCUCUCUCUCUUCUCUACUGUGUUGGCCAACACAUUCACACUCUCUCUCUCUGUUCUUCACUUUUCUUGUGCUGUCUCCCUUCGUAGGACACGGGCAGGCGUGUUAGGUGUGCAUCCUCACAGGCUAUGUCUCGGGCACCAUGAAGAAGUAGGAGGGGAUGAAAAUCAUGCAGGGCUGUGGGUGUGAGAGUGGAGGCAGGUAUUGGAAGAUUUUGUGCACCUAUAGUGUUUUUGGCAGUGAUGGCUGUUCUAUGGGUUAUUUGCUGUUCUUGCAGAGGCCUGCUCCAGGCCAGUGGAGCAGCACCAGACAGAUGAGGAGCAUCUGGAGGAAGUGGACCUGCUCAAUCUAGAUGUUUCACCUGGCAGUGGAGCUUAAGAGCCCUCUCGUGAUUUUGGAGGAGCAGGUGUGUGUGUUUGUGAAAUAUUUCUCUAUCCAGUAUCUGCAUAGUGAGGUGCCUCCUUGAGAGCAGAGAGAUACUUCUCAUUUCUAUAGGAUGGGUCCUGGGGAAGUUAGAGCUCUGCCUGUGGCUGGUAGUGGUCUGGGAUUGUCCCUUUCCUGGAGGGUUGUAGCUCCUUAGGAGUGAACAGCCUUCUAAGCAGACAUGAACAGUCCUCAGCUUUCUGCCUCCUGCAUAACUGGCUGUGAGUAAGCGGUCAGUGCUUGGGAUUCCUCAUCUGUAUUCGCUGUAAUUUUCUUCACAGGCCGUUUGCUUCCUUGCUGGGUACGGGGUUCUGUGGGAUUAAGGCUGGGGAAGGGACCAGAGUCACAGUUGCCAACUUUCACUGGGUAAAUAUGCACCCCGACUUUCAUAAUAAGCCAAAAAACAAGCUAAUCCCAUUUCAAAACAAGGCCAAAAAAAGCCAAUUCCUAAGAACCCCAACACUGUAUAUGACUAGAUCUCUCCUGUCGUGCAGUCUGGGACUGUGGUGGGCCUGCUGUGCACCCGAUGCUCUCCCCGCUUUGCCCCUCCUUGCCGGAAGCAACAAGCUACAACAAGCAAUAAGCUACAAGCCAAACACAAGCCUAAUUUCAAAGUUUUUUUCCCCCACAGGCUAUAUCUCGGGCGCCAUGAAGAAGUAAGAGGGGAUGAAAAUCAUGCAGGGCAGUGGGUGCGAGAGUGGAGUGGUGGCUGUCGGUGUUUACGUGGUCUCUUUUCAUCAAGUGGGGCCUAUGAAGAUGGGAUGGAAGAGAGAGGCAGGGAUGAGGCCAAGAUUUCAAGCACUACUAGCGCUUUGUGUCGUGAUUGUUGAUACUUGGUUUUCGCAGCUGCUCUCAAAGAGAAAUUGUCCAGGAGCCCUAUCCCGAGGAGCAAGUGGACCCGAGCAGCUUAGACAUCCUUCUAAGCAGACAUGGCCGGUUUUGUUCAAUAUCUUCAUUAAUGAUCUGGAGGAUAGGGUGGACUGCACUCUCAGCAAGUUUGCAGAUGACACCAAACUGGGAGGAGUGGUAGAUAUGCUGGAGGGUAGGGAUAGGAUAG